CAUAGACAACUUCCCCCCAGAAAGUAAAGUGAUAUAUAUAACUAGAUAAGAAGAGAUAUAAAAAAAACCCUCAGACCUAUCUCUAAAUGGUCUGAGAUUUCUUUAUCUAUAUAUAGAAAUCUCAGACCAUUUAGAGAUAGGUCUGAGGGUUUUUUUUUAUAUCUCUUCUUAUCUACUUAUAUAUAUCACUUUACUUUCUGGGGGGAAGUUGUCUAUG